AUGAACGCUGGCGGCGUGCCUAAUACAUGCAAGUCGAGCGAACAGACGAGGAGCUUGCUCCUCUGACGUUAGCGGCGGACGGGUGAGUAACACGUGGAUAACCUACCUAUAAGACUGGGAUAACUUCGGGAAACCGGAGCUAAUACCGGAUAAUAUAUUGAACCGCAUGGUUCAAUAGUGAAAGACGGUUUUGCUGUCACUUAUAGAUGGAUCCGCGCCGCAUUAGCUAGUUGGUAAGGUAACGGCUUACCAAGGCAACGAUGCGUAGCCGACCUGAGAGGGUGAUCGGCCACACUGGAACUGAGACACGGUCCAGACUCCUACGGGAGGCAGCAGUAGGGGAUCUUCCGCAAUGGGCGAAAGCCUGACGGAGCAACGCCGCGUGAGUGAUGAGGGUCUUCGGAUCGUAAAACUCUGUUAUUAGGGAAGAACAAAUGUGUAAGUAACUAUGCACGUCUUGACGGUACCUAAUCAGAAAGCCACGGCUAACUACGUG
rnacentral:rRNA from 1 species